CGACCCUCGCGGAGGCGACGGGCGUCGAGCGCUCCUGACGCUCGCGGGCCCGCGCCCGCGCGGUCCUGACCGGGGGUCCCGGCCUCGGCGGUCCU
rnacentral:tRNA from 1 species